CCCCACUAUGCCUAGCCAUAAACUUUAAUAGAAAUCAACUAACUAUUCGCCAGAAUACUACAAGCAAAACGCUUGAAACUCAAAGGACUUGGUGGUGUCCCAUAUCGUCCUAGAGGAGCCUGUCCUAUAAUCGAUACUCCACGAUAAACCUUACCAUUUUUGGCCACUCCAGCCUAUAUACCGCCGUCGCCAGCCUACCCCAUGAGGGCUCAUCAGUAGGCAAAAUUGUUUUCACACAAAAACGUCAGGUCAAGGUGUAGCUUAUAAAAUGGGAGAGAUGGGCUACAUUUUCUAAAUUAGAAAAUACGAACAAUACAAUGAAACCUUGUAUUAGAAGGAGGAUUUAGCAGUAAAAUAAACAGAAAAAUUAUUUUAAAAAAGCUCUG
rnacentral:rRNA from 1 species